GGCGAUGAGUCUUUGCAUAAGCGAGAGUCGGUCGUCUGAUGAGUAAACAAUUUAACUUCCUUAAUUUUCCUAUUUUGUUUGAAGUAGAAUGUUUAAAUAUAAAUAAUGAAUGACUUCACGUAACAGAAAUGAUGGAGAAAGAGGAAGUUGAGUCCGAAACGGCCGGAAAUGGGAUUCGUAGAAGUAAAGGUGGAUGCAGACGUUGCCAGAAAACACCUUGCGACAUUACUGGACCCGUCUAUUUUCUCCUACGCGAGCAGGCCAAGUCACAAGUUGCCAUAAGGGUCGUGUUCAGGUGCUAUGAGAUGACACAGCUGUUUACAUCCGAUAUGUCACACUCAAC
rnacentral:lncRNA from 1 species